GACGAACGCUGGCGGCGUGCUUAACACAUGCAAGUCGAACGGAAAGGCCCUGCUUUUGUGGGGUGCUCGAGUGGCGAACGGGUGAGUAACACGUGAGUAACCUGCCCUUGACUUUGGGAUAACUUCAGGAAACUGGGGCUAAUACCGGAUAUGAGCUCCUGCUGCAUGGUGGGGGUUGGAAAGUUUCGGCGGUUGGGGAUGGACUCGCGGCUUAUCAGCUUGUUGGUGGGGUAGUGGCUUACCAAGGCUUUGACGGGUAGCCAGCCUGAGAGGGUGACCGGGCACAUUGGGACUGAGAUACGGCCCAGACUCCUACGGGACGCAGCAGUGGGGAAUAUUGCACAAUGGGCGGAAGUCUGAUGCAGCAACGCCGCGUGCGGGAUGACGGCCUUCGAGUUGUAAACCGAUUUCGCCUGUGACGAAGCGUGAGUGACGGUACUGGGUAAAGAAGCACCGGCUAACUACGUG
rnacentral:rRNA from 1 species